AAAUCCAGUAGCGCUAAGAGUCCUAAUCCGGCAGAUGGAUCCCUUCGGGGUGAAGCAGCCGGCCUAACGCUCGACCCCAUUCUGGUGCGGUUAGCGUAUUAACAGGUGUGACGCAGGAAGGUAGCUGAACCAGGCGAUGGUUGUCCUGGUGUAAGGACGUAGGGCGAGAGAUAGGCAAAUCCGUCUCUCACAUAGCCUGAGAUCCGAUGCGUACCCCUCACGGGGGAAAUCAGUGAUCCUAUGCUGCCGAGAAAAGCAUCGACGCGAGGUUUUAGUCACCCGUACCCCAAACCGACUCAGGUGGGUAGGUAGAGAAUACCAAGGAGAUCGAGAGAACCGUGGUUAAGGAACUCGGCAAAAUGCCCCCGUAACUUCGGGAGAAGGGGGGCCGAAUUCGUGAAGGGACUUGCUCCCGGAGCGAUGAAGGCCGCAGAGACCAGUGGGAAGCGACUGUUUACUAAAAACACAGGUCCGUGCGAAGACGCAAGUCGAUGUAUACGGACUGACGCCUGCCCGGUGCUGGAAGGUUAAGAGGAAGGGUUAGCUUCGGCGAAGCUCUGAAUUUAAGCCCCAGUAAACGGCGGUGGUAACUAUAACCAUCCUAAGGUAGCGAAAUUCCUUGUCGGGUAAGUUCCGACCUGCACGAAUGGCGUAACGACUUCCCAGCUGUCUCAACCGCGAACUCGGCGAAAUUGCACUACGAGUAAAGAUGCUCGUUACGCGCAGCAGGACGGAAAGACCCCGUGACCUUUACUACAGCUUGGUAUUGGUGUUCGGUGUGGCUUGUGUAGGAUAGGUGGGAGACUUUGAAGCUGGCACGCUAGUGUCGGUGGAGUCGUUGUUGAAAUACCACUCUGGUCACUCUGGAUGUCUAACUACGAACCGUAAUCCGGUUCUGGAACAGUGCCUGGUGGGUAGUUUAACUGGGGCGGUUGCCUCCCAAAAAGUAACGGAGGCGCCCAAAGGUUCCCUCAACCUGGUUGGCAAUCAGGUGUCGAGUGUAAGUGCACAAGGGAGCUUGACUGUGAGAGUGACGGCUCGAGCAGGGACGAAAGUCGGGACUAGUGAUCCGGCAGUGGCUUGUGGAAGCGCUGUCGCUCAACGGAUAAAAGGUACCUCGGGGAUAACAGGCUGAUCUUGCCCAAGAGUCCAUAUCGACGGCAUGGUUUGGCACCUCGAUGUCGGCUCGUCGCAUCCUGGGGCUGGAGUAGGUCCCAAGGGUUGGGCUGUUCGCCCAUUAAAGCGGUACGCGAGCUGGGUUUAGAACGUCGUGAGACAGUUCGGUCCCUAUCCGCUGCGCGCGUAGGAAAUUUGGGAAGAUCUAUCCCUAGUACGAGAGGACCGGGAUGGACGAACCUCUGGUGUGUCAGUUGUUCCGCCAGGAGCACCGCUGAUUAGCUACGUUCGGACCGGAUAACCGCUGAAAGCAUCUAAGCGGGAAGCCGUCUUCAAGAUGAGAUUUCCAUCCCUUAGGGGGAGAGGCUCCCAGCUAGACGACUGGGUUGAUAGGCAGGAUGUGGAAGUGGGGACUAAAGACCCAUGCAGCUGACCUGUACUAAUAAGCCGAUAACUCGAAAAA
rnacentral:rRNA from 1 species